rnacentral:lncRNA from 1 species
CAGAUGAAUCUCGAGUCUGCAGUUUAGAGACACUGGAGCGAGAGUGUAGGUGAUUGUUAGAGAACAACCAGCACUGAGAGUGACCAAUACAAGAAGUCACAUGGAUGUUUGCUCACUCGUUAGUGACUUUCUCGAUGCUGCAGUUGUAUGACUGUUCCUUUAAUUUGAGAUGAUACUUCUGCUCACAGUGAGGUUGCUAGAAUUUGACUGACACAUCAAUAUAGGUCUCAAAGAACUCUUGUAGUGGAUGUUGGUGACAGUUAGUCCACUGUAGGAGUAGGGUGUACAUCAAGAUGGGAUCUAUCGAUCCUAGCAGAAGGAAGUAGUCCUAUGAGAUUUAAGAGGCUGAGUCCUUAAGUCUAUGGUCAUAGCAAUGUGAUUGAUGGAAAAGAGUUUCCACAAAAUUACAUAUGGACUUAAGCUGAUUGAAUCUAUUAUAUGACCAACGUUGAGAUUUGAUGAUUUAUCCAUGACCUGCCAUCUAGUCGGGACUCACGAUAGAGGGAUUGAAUCACACGUUAACUACACCUAGAGGUUCAUUUCAGUUCUACUAUAUUACCACUACAUACUACAAGAUGUCACUAAU